GACGAACGCUGGCGGCGUGCUUAACACAUGCAAGUCGAACGGUGAAGCGCCUUCCUUGUUGGGUGGUGUGGAUGAGUGGCGAACGGGUGAGUAACACGUGAGUAACCUGCCCCCUGCUUCUGGAUAACCGCAUGAAAGUGUGUCUAGUACGGGAUAUUCUGGGUCUUUCGCAUGGUGGGUCUGGGAAAGAGAUUGUGUCGGGGGGGGAUGGGCUCGCGGCCUAUCAGCUUGUUGGGGGUGUGAUGGCCUUCGAAGGCGGUGAGGGGUAGACGGCCUGAGAGGGUGGACGGUCAGACUGGGAGUGAGACCCGGUCGAGACUGAUAUGGGAGGCAGCAGUGGGGAAUAGUGCACAAUGGGGGAAAGCCCGAUGCAGCGAGGACGCGUGAGGGAUGGAGCCCUUCGGGUUGUGAAGCUCUUUCGCUAGUGAAGCAGGCCUGCCUCGUUUGUGGGUGGGUUGACGGUAGCUGGAGAAGAAGCGCCGGCUAACUACGUG
rnacentral:rRNA from 1 species